CGAAAUAAAAAUAAUCGGGCUUCUACUAGAGGUGGAGCAUUGCACACAACGGGACGUAAGUCUCAUCUUGAGGUUACGUUAGGCCUAGAGCGUAAAUAUGGUCGACCUCUAGAUCCGGACGAGCUAUUUGUGGCCACUCACACAAAGAAAACUGGUAGCUGGGUUGAUGACCGUGCUCGUGAUACAUAUG